ACCUAUAGAGAAAGUACAACAAUACACGGAGAGGGAUCGGUUUUUGUCUGCUUCCGAGGCUUUAGAGUUUGGGCUUAUUGACGGCGUGCUGGAAACAGAAUACUGAGCUUUUUGGCGAAGACUAAAAGGUCAUAAGCCAUAUCUGCACAAUAAGGUGAUCUGAUUAUGCAGAAUUUGACUUCUGAAUGGGAAAAUUUAUUUCAGUGUGCGGAAUCAUCUUCUCCAAGCUUUGGUACAGAAUAUCAAAAUUUCAGUCCGAAUUAGCGUCGUUUCAUUGGUGAACUCCCAA
rnacentral:misc_RNA from 1 species